rnacentral:rRNA from 1 species
AGAGUUUGAUCAUGGCUCAGAACGAACGCUGGCGGCAGGCCUAACACAUGCAAGUCGAGCGCUGUAGCAAUACAGAGCGGCGCACGGGUGAGUAACACGUGGGAACGUGCCCUUUGGUUCGGAAUAACUCAGGGAAACUUGAGCUAAUACCGGAUGAGCCCUAACGGGGAAAGAUUUAUCGCCGAAGGAGCGGCCCACGUCGGAUUAGCUAGUUGGUGGGGUAAAAGCCCACCAAGGCUACGAUCCGUAGCUGGUUUGAGAGAACGACCAGCCACACUGGGACUGAGACACGGCCCAGACUCCUACGGGAGGCAGCAGUGGGGAAUCUUGGACAAUGGGGGAAACCCUGAUCCAGCCAUGCCGCGUGAGUGAUGAAGGCCCUAGGGUUGUAAAACUCUUUCGGCGGGGACGAUAAUGACGGUACCCGCAGAAGGAGCUCCGGCUAACUUCGUGCCAGCAGCCGCGGUAAUACGAAGGGGGCUAGCGUUGUUCGGAAUUACUGGGCGUAAAGCGCGCGCAGGCGGUUCUUCAAGUCAGAGGUGAAAGCCCAGGGCUCAACCCUGGAAUGGCCUUUGAGACUAGAGGACUUGGGUACGGGAGAGGUGAGUGGAAUUCCGAGUGUAGAGGUGAAAUUCGUAGAUAUUCGGAAGAACACCAGUGGCGAAGGCGGCUCACUGGCCCGUUACCGACGCUCAGGCGCGACAGCGUGGGGAGCAAACAGGAUUAGAUACCCUAGUAGUCC